AAAAUCAAAUCACUAGAAUUAAAUGUGAUUAUUAUUCUCCAUAUAAUUAGCAUCAAUAUUUUCUCUCCCAAACAAAAGAAAAACACUUCCCUCUUCGUUUGGGGUUUUGUAAAGCAAUCGGCGACCGGAACUUUGAAGCUGUUGCCAGACCUCUCUUCUUUAAUUAAGGUCGUUGCCGAUCGUUUUCCGUCAUUAGGAACAAGUAGAGGGACGCCGUCAGUUUUUCAUUGAAGUUCAUCGUUGACUCGCCACAGACUCGCCAACCGGCCAUUCUAUCACAAUAGCAGUCGCUGUCGAAGAGGCCGCCCAAACCUGCUCUCUUCCCCGACGGACACAUCGUUUCGGAAAAGACCGCCAUCGAUGGAGGAUACAACUCGAUCUCGCCGUAGCACCGACCCUGAUUAUGUGGUCGGAAACAACAUACACAAUUCUGAUUCAAGAUCAUAGGUUAGUUUGGUUCCUAACCACAGUUUCCUAUGGUUUCGAAUUUGUUUUUGCUGAGUUGUUACUAAUCCCGAUUUUGUCAAGAGUUGGAUCGAAAUGAUAAGGUUAUUUUAUGAUUCCUCUAUUCUUCUUCAAUAUUGUUAUAGAAUUACGUUUUUAUUUAACAAAUCUUUUAACAUUUCUGAAGCGAUUUUUGCCAUUAGUUAUGGUAUCUGAUUUUGUUUCAAGUUUAGUUUCUGAUUCUGUUUCAAAAGAAAUUCUAAUUUUCGAUUCUGUUUCAGUUUCUUCUGUUUACCUAUGUUAAGAUUGGUGCAAAUUGAUCAUAAAUCUAGUUUUGGUACAUUACGAGCCUAUUAGUUGGGUUUCGGUGCAGAUUGAUCGUUUUCAUAUUUGAUUUGUGCAUGUUGUACCUAAUUUUGAACUUGAUACAUUCAGUUAUGUAUAGUAAUGGAUUCAACGAACUAAGGUUGAUUUUAGUUCGGUUUCAAUUAUAUUUUGACGAACUUCGAUGAUUACGUCUCGGCCUUGACUCUUGUGUUCAAGUCUAUCCAUCAUGCCAGAGUUCUCAUCAUGUUGAAUCAUAUCUGGUAAAUUUAACUACUCAACUAUUUAAUUGUGCUCUUUUCAGUAUAUAUAUGUUGUUCUAUGUCUAGAGUGAGUCAAUAUCUCUAUUAAUAACAUAAUUCAUAUGAUUAUCGUAUAACAUUUGUGAUAUUUGAAACUUUUAAAUUUAUUCUUCCACUGGUUUAUUGUUCCACGAACGAUGCUCUUUAAACUAACUUCUUAAUUGGUGAAGUUCGAUCAUUAAUCAUACUAUUUGCUGAUUUUAAAGUUUGCUUCAGUCAUAAUCUGUUAUUGUUCUAACCAUAUCAUGUCUACGUUAUAUAGUAGAAAACGUCUCAAAAAGCAAAAGGAAUUAGUGAACUGAAGUUAUUAUGUUUCAUUUUUGUGUUUAAAUAUCGAACUGAAGUUUUAGGCAUAUUUUUUUGUUUCAUAAAAGGCAUUCUUCUCUGUUUAUGGGGGAAGUUUAACCAGUUUUAUAUUUUGUUUGGAUCUAGUCAAUAAAAAGAAUUCAUCCUAAACAGUAUGUCUUGUCCCAAUGAUUUUGAAAUUCAAAAUUACUAUAAAUCGAAUGGAACACAACUGAUGUUGUACGAAAGAUAAGUUUUUCUACAAGUUGUUGAAUUAAACAUAGGUGAAUUCCCGUGACAUGUCCCUUUGUACCUCAUUGACUGGAUACUAACAAUUAUAGGUUGUAUGUAGUAAGGUACAUAAACCAUUAUCAUGGGCGGUGUACAACAUACCAGAACCAACAAUGGAGUACUUUUGCCGUUCUUCACAAUGAUAGACUGAAGUAUCUAUUUCGUGUGGUACUUUCUGAUGUAAACAAAACUUGUGGACAAGUUUUGGCGAAAGCUGUCCAAUUCUGCGAGGAGAUGAAAUUGCAAAGAAAGCUCGUAAAGUAAAGAACUUUUUAGCUACUACGCCGCUCUUCUAAGGUUCUUUAACUGUGUUUUACCAGCAUAAUGUCAGAGCCAGUCUCAUCAUNNN
rnacentral:lncRNA from 1 species